GAGUCACGUCUCAGACCAGAAACUUCCCCCUUGGGUUUUGAACAAAAACUGUCUGUGAUUGCUGACAGUGCUAUGUACACACAGACUUUGUCAACAUGUCGAUGCAGAGGCUUCAAACUCUACUUUAUUAGAAGUGGUGACGGGUGUACGGGAGUCAGGAGAACAGCUGCACGACACCAACCACAAUCACCUCCGCCAUAAAUACCCUGACUUGUAGACAAUACUCCCGAGUUUGUUAUGUUUGAGCUCGGUGCUGGACCUGACGCUGGACAACGCUCCACUCCUGCCUAAGCCUGCUCCUCGGACUCUGGAACUUUGGACUCGCGGCUGGAUCCUAAACCACUGGACCUCGUCGUAGUCCCCUCGUCAGCCUCUCUGUCCGGCCCAAUUCUGCUCCUAGCAUUGUCCUCGGACCUGCCCCUCCCCUAACCCCGGGCUCUGCCCUUCCCAUGCACCUUUGGUAUCUGCAGAAAUAAAUAUUGUUACAUUUACCAGUCCUGGC